GGAGGACACAGGGAGUGGGACCUACUAGUAUUCUCCAAGUCACGUAUCAGUGACUUGGUGAACACGGAUGACUUCUUGCCAGCUUAAGAUCAAUGGUUAAUAUAACCAGCAUACAAAUCUCUCCUAAUGUCUCCUGCAUACAUGUCAUUGAUGUUUGUCUUUAGGGUUCCAGUUUGGAACCUUCGACAUCUCUCCCUUAGCAGCACCUGCAGAAAAGUCUUUAAACCUUCCCUAGUGCCAAAACAUUUUGUCAGUUAUGUUACGGUCUACCCAUGACUUAUGUGGCUUAGCAAUGGAUCUACUGUGAUCAAGUUAAGAUCAGUGUGACUUUAACAGCCCAAGAGAUUUUUGGUAAUGACAUCCUUCCAAAGGUUUACACUUCUAUUAAGAACCACACAUUUGGGAGGCUGAAGCUGGAAGAUCACUUGAGCCCAGGAGUGCAAGACCCAUAUGGGCAACACAGAGAGACUCCACUUCAAACAACCAACAACCACACAGUCUUCUACAGUAAGCAAGCAAGACAAUGCUGAGAUGGCACUAAGUACCAUACCUGUGAGGCCAAGAUUGCUACUGGCAUACCCAGUGCUCUGCACCCAUGUAACUAGCACUACUAGCCUUGGCAGCCAUCUUGAAAAUGAUGCCCGGCUUACAAGGGAGCCCAUGGAAUACAGUGCGUCUACUGCACGUUACCACCACCACUCCUACAAACAACCCGAAGGGUAAGUCCUAAAGACGUGUCUGCAGCUUUGCCUUCAAACAGGAAGAAAAAUGUCAAGUUACCAGUGACUAUGGCCACUCUAAUAAGCUACAGCCAGGGAUCUAACAGAAAUCGACUUAACCAGUUAUGAUUCUAGGACAAGGAAGAAUGAAAAAUAAGAACGGAAGAAGGAAAAAAAACCACUUUCUUGUAAAUAUAUUAUUUACUGGAUGAGCAAAUAAAAACAGUUCUCUCUGGUCAAAGCUGUGCUAAGACAAAAUUUAUCUCAGGUAUUAAAAUGAAACGUGAAACAAAGGCAAUACAACCUCUCGGUAAAGAUGACAAAACCUCAUAUAGUCAAAUCCUCUUACCCUAAAACGUUAACAAUGUAUAAAUAUCCGAUGUCAGUGGAUCACAUUCUCAAAUACCGAGUUCAAUAAAGUAGAAAAAGAUGACA
rnacentral:lncRNA from 1 species